AGGCCUAACACAUGCAAGUCGAAUGGUAACAGGAAACAGCUUGCUGCUUCGCUGACGAGUGGCGGGCGGGUGAGUAAUGUCUGGGAAACUGCCUGAUGGAGGGGGAUAACUACUGGAAACGGUAGCUAAUACCGCAUAACGUCGCAAGACCAAAGAGGGGGACCUUCGGGCCUCUUGCCAUCAGAUGUGCCCAGAUGGGAUUAGCUAGUAGGUGGGGUAACGGCUCACCUAGGCGACGAUCCCUAGCUGGUCUGAGAGGAUGACCAGCCACACUGGAACUGAGACACGGUCCAGACUCCUACGGGAGGCAGCAGUGGGGAAUAUUGCACAAUGGGCGCAAGCCUGAUGCAGCCAUGCCGCGUGUAUGAAGAAGGCCUUCGGGUUGUAAAGUACUUUCAGCGGGGAGGAAGGGAGUAAAGUUAAUACCUUUGCUCAUUGACGUUACCCGCAGAAGAAGCACCGGCUAACUCCGUGCCAGCAGCCGCGGUAAUACGGAGGGUGCAAGCGUUAAUCGGAAUUACUGGGCGUAAAGCGCACGCAGGCGGUUUGUUAAGUCAGAUGUGAAAUCCCCGGGCUCAACCUGGGAACUGCAUCUGAUACUGGCAAGCUUGAGUCUCGUAGAGGGGGGUAGAAUUCCAGGUGUAGCGGUGAAAUGCGUAGAGAUCUGGAGGAAUACCGGUGGCGAAGGCGG
rnacentral:rRNA from 1 species